rnacentral:rRNA from 1 species
GAUGAACGCUGGCGGCGUGCCUAAUACAUGCAAGUCGAACGAAACUUCUUUAUCACCGAGUGCUUGCACUCACCGAUAAAGAGUUGAGUGGCGAACGGGUGAGUAACACGUGGGCAACCUGCCCAAAAGAGGGGGAUAACACUUGGAAACAGGUGCUAAUACCGCAUAACCAUAGUUACCGCAUGGUAACUAUGUAAAAGGUGGCUAUACUACCGCUUUUGGAUGGGCCCGCGGCGCAUUAGCUAGUUGGUAAGGUAAAGGCUUACCAAGGCAAUGAUGCGUAGCCGAAGUGAGAGGUUGAUCGGCCACAUUGGGACGAAGACACGGCCCAAACUCCUACGGGAGGCAGCAGUAGGGAAUCUUCCACAAUGGGCGAAAGCCUGAUGGAGCAACGCCGCGUGGGUGAAGAAGGUCUUCGGAUCGUAAAACCCUGUUGUUAGAGAAGAAAGUGCGUGAGAGUAACUGUUCACGUUUCGACGGUAUCUAACCAGAAAGCCACGGCUAACUACGUG